rnacentral:tRNA from 1 species
CGGGGUGUGGCGCAGUUUGGCUAGCGCGCCUGCCUUGGGAGCAGGAGGCCGGAGGUUCAAAUCCUCUCGCCCCGACCA